CCCUUAGAUGCUCUGGGCCGCACGCGCGCUACACUGACUGGUGCAACAAGUGUCGCUCCUUGGCCGAUAGGCCUGGGCAAUCUUUGAACGCCAGUCGUGAUGGGGAUAGAUUCUUGCAAUUUUUGAUCUUCAACGAGGAAUUCCUAGUAAACGCGAGUCACCAACUCGCAUUGAUUACGUCCCUGCCCUUUGUACACACCGCCCGUCGCACCUACCGAUUGAAUGGUCCGGUGAACCCUCCGGAUCGGCUCGCGCCAACGCAAGUUGAGCAAAGGCCGAGAAGUUGGGUAAACCUUACCAUUUAGAGGAAGGUGAAGUCGUAACA
rnacentral:rRNA from 1 species